rnacentral:rRNA from 1 species
GACAGAGGCCCCAAGCGUUAGGCGGAAUCACUGGGCUUAAAGCGUGUGUAGGCGGAUCGUUAAGUGUCUUGUGAAAUCCCACGGCUCACCCGUGGAACUGCUGGGCAUACUGGCGAUCUUGGGCCAACUAGGGGCAGCCGGAACAAGCGGUGGAGCGGUGAAAUGCGUAGAUAUCGCUUGGAACACCAACGGCGAAAGCACUCUGCUGGGCCGACACUGACACUGAGAGACGAAAGCUAGGGGAGCAAAUGGG